rnacentral:rRNA from 1 species
ACUCGUAGACUCCUACGGGAGGCAGCAGUGGGGAAUUUUUGGACAAUGGGCGCAAGCCUGAUCCAGCAAUGCCGCGUGCAGGAAGAAGGCCUUCGGGUUGUAAACUGCUUUUGUCAGGGAAGAAAUCCUUUUGGGCUAAUACCUCGGAGGGAUGACGGUACCUGAAGAAUAAGCACCGGCUAACUACGUGCCAGCAGCCGCGGUAAUACGUAGGGGUGCGAGCGUUAAUCGGAAUUACUGGGCGUAAAGCGUGCGCAGGCGGCUUUGCAAGACAGAGGUGAAAUCCCCGGGCUCAACCUGGGAACUGCCUUUGUGACUGCAAGGCUAGAGUACGGCAGAGGGGGAUGGAAUUCCGCGUGUAGCAGUGAAAUGCGUAGAUAUGCGGAGGAACACCGAUGGCGAAGGCAAUCCCCUGGGCCUGUACUGACGCUCAUGCACGAAAGCGUGGGGAGCAAACAGGAUUAGAUACCCUGGUAG